rnacentral:rRNA from 1 species
AGUGAACGCUGGCGGCGUGCCUAACACAUGCAAGUCGAACGAUGAUGGAGAGCUUGCUCUCCUGAUUAGUGGCGCACGGGUGAGUAUACCAUAGAUAAUGUACCUCUUAGUUCGGGAUAGCCACUGGAAACGGUGAUUAAUACCGGAUACUCCUUCUUGUCUUAAGACAAGUCGGGAAAGUUUUUUCGCUAAGAGAUCAGUCUAUGUCCUAUCAGCUAGUUGGUGAGGUAAUGGCUCACCAAGGCUAUGACGGGUAUCUGGUUUGAGAGGAUGAUCAGACACACUGGAACUGAGACACGGUCCAGACUCCUACGGGAGGCAGCAGUGAGGAAUAUUGCACAAUGGAGGAAACUCUGAUGCAGCAGCGCCGCGUGGAGGAUGACGCAUUUCGGUGUGUAAACUCCUUUUAAGAGGGAAGAUAAUGACGGUACCUCUUGAAUAAGCACCGGCUAACUCCGUGCCAGCCGCCGCAGUAAAAC